rnacentral:lncRNA from 1 species
CCGCGGCCAAGGCCAAGCCGGUGUCGUCCGGCAGCCCGUGGUACGGCUCCGACCGCGUGCUCUACCUCGGCCCGCUCUCCGGCGACCCCCCGAGCUACCUCACCGGUGAGUUCCCCGGCGACUACGGGUGGGACACCGCGGGGCUGUCGGCCGACCCCGAGACCUUCGCCAAGAACCGGGAGCUGGAGGUGAUCCACUGCCGGUGGGCCAUGUUGGGCGCUCUCGGCUGCGUCUUCCCCGAGCUGCUCGCCCGCAACGGCGUCAAGUUCGGCGAGGCCGUGUGGUUCAAGGCCGGCUCCCAGAUCUUCAGCGAGGGCGGCCUCGACUACCUCGGCAACCCCAGCCUCGUCCACGCGCAGAGCAUCCUUGCCAUCUGGGCCUGCCAGGUCGUGCUCAUGGGCGCCGUCGAGGGCUACCGCGUCGCCGGCGGCCCGCUCGGCGAGAUCGUCGACCCGCUCUACCCCGGCGGCAGCUUCGACCCCCUGGGCCUCGCCGACGACCCCGAGGCGUUCGCGGAGCUCAAGGUGAAGGAGAUCAAGAACGGCCGCCUCGCCAUGUUCUCCAUGUUCGGCUUCUUCGUGCAGGCCAUCGUCACCGGCAAGGGCCCCCUCGAGAACCUCGCCGACCACCUCGCCGACCCCGUCAACAACAACGCCUGGGCCUUCGCCACCAACUUUGUGCCCGGCAAGUAAGCUGCUAGGUCUUGUAGCCACGAUCGAGUGUCUAGAAACUGAUCGACCGUGCACGUACGUACGUACGCGAUGAAGCGUGCGCAUGCAUGCAUGCACCUGGUUUCGUUUGUACAACCAUGAUGUAAAGUACGAAGGUUGAAUGCAAAAGUCUGUUGCUAGAAUUGGUGAGUGAUGAGCAAUCACCUGUGUUAAUUGACCGGUAGCUGAUCUUGCAAUCGAUCGG